rnacentral:lncRNA from 1 species
AGUGUUUCAGAUACUUCAAAGCAUGGGUUGUGCUUCACCCCACCCUCUCUAGCUAAACUCCUUGGCUAAUGGCCUGCAUGAUCUUAACUUCAUUCCGGAAAUACUGGUUAAGAGGAUUUGGGACAGGCCAUUUGGAGGCUGGUGAACCUGACAACUUACACAACCUACAUUUGCAAAGCCCAGUUAUUUUCUGACUAAUGGGUCAGAAAGAGGGGGCAGAAGAGGAGAGAGAAAUCUUCACCAAACAAACAGCCAGGCCAUCUGGGUGGAGUUGCUUAAGGCAGUCACAAAAAAAUGAUCACAUCAUUUACCUCUCAUUUAACAAGGGCAGAGCAGGGAUACUAGCUGUGAGACACUUCUGCUCCGGGAAAGAUAAGCAGUUUAUUUGAAAAAAAAAAAAAAAAAAAAAAAAAAAAAAGAACUUCCUGACUGCUGAAAUACAGACCGUUCCUGAUUGUGGUUAUGGAGGAGGUGUCUUCAAAAGCAUCAAGGAAAAAAUAUCAAAUAAUUGUAUUUGUUUGACUGAAGACUUAUCUGGAUACAGGAGUUCCCCUCAGCCUUUUGAGUGUUGGUCGCUGAUCGUGGUUAUGGAGGAGGUGUCUUCAAAAGCAUCAAGGAAAAAAUAUCAAAUAUUUUGAUAUUUGAUAUCAAAUAUCAAAAUUUGCCAUGGUGCCCAGCAUGGUUCAAGAUCAUAAGUGUCAAGCACAUCAGGGCAAGAAUCUUCUGUUCCAUAUGCAACAUCUUCUGGCAGCCUUGUCCUUUUUCUGUCCUUGACGACUACAAUAACAAACAGCUGUUGCCGAGGCAUUGCUGUUGACGUGUUACCUUUGAAACCUCCCUCCUGUUAUGGAAUAAGCCUCUUCCAGAUCAUGGCUCAUUAUCAUCUAGUCUGACAAGCAGCCUUGUUGCCACGGAGACCCAAAGGGAUCAGGCGUGGCAUUUGCCUGCAUCAUCACCCCCUCCAGGGGAACUAUAAGGACUCUUCUGUGCGUCAUGCGUGGCUGUCCUGGGACUGGCUGCCACCAGACUUUUCCUGCGGGUAAAACCUAAACAAAUGAUCAGCUGCAGAUAAUAUCAAGACCUCUGUUUGAUAUGUUAAUAGUGACAGCCAGAUUUCCACAAUUAACAACGAGGUGGGAAGAAAACACUGUAGUCACCAGACUUGGGAGGAGAGGGUUUGUAUUCACAUAAACACAACCUCACGUCACUGCUUGCCACCACAAAGGGCUCUGUUCACUGUUUUGUUCUCAAAGAUCAUCCUUGCGCUCAUCCUCUGAUCUUGAAUUUCUACAUAACUUUCUCAGUUUAUAUGCCCUGUGGCAAGUGCAGCAAGCACUGUUUCCUGUUUCUAAACUUGUAGAAAAUCAUCCAUACAUCUUACAGUUGUCAGUUUUAACCAGAUAACAGUGGCACUUUGUUGCUGCUUUUUUAUCUUUAGCUUAGGUUAACAGGACCCUGGAAGUAAAGUUGUUGAUUUAUUCAAUAGAGUAUUCUCAAUUAAUUUGGCUAGAUUUCUACAUGAUUCAAAAUCUAAAAAAGUAGAAAUGCAUGCUUACAUGUCUAAGGCCUGAAAAAUUGGUAGUGACAUCCCAAAAUAAAUGAAGGUUUUAAAACAAUAA